AUACGUAGGGGGCGAGCGUUGUCCGGAAUGAUUGGGCGUAAAGGGCGCGUAGGCGGCCCGGUAAGUCUGGAGUGAAUGUCCUGUUUUUAAGAUGGGAAUUGCUUUGGAUACUGUCGGGCUUGAGUGCAGGAGAGGUAAGUGGAAUUCCCAGUGUAGCGGUGAAAUGCGUAGAGAUUGGGAGGAACGCCAGUGGCGAAGGCGACUUACUGGACUGUAACUGACGCUGAGGCGCGAAAGUGUGGGGAGCAAACAGGAUUAGAUACCCUGGUAGUCCACACUGUAAACGAUGAAUGCUAGGUGUAGGGGGUAUCGACCCCUUCUGUGCCGCAGUCAACACAAUAAGCAUUCCGCCUGGGGAGUACGGCCGCAAGGUUGAAACUCAAAGGAAUUGGCGGGG
rnacentral:rRNA from 1 species